rnacentral:lncRNA from 1 species
GGGGACGGGCUAUAUAGGAGUGACAUUUUACAGGCAUAGAGAAUAACCAACAACAAGAGGUCCAGUCAUUUAUUCACCAUUGCAUAAAGAUGUAUUCAAGAAGCAGGUAGAAUUCUGGUAUUUCUGGACCACCAUUAGGAAGACAAAAAGUGUUAUACAAUGACGACAUAGACCAGGGGUGGUAUUCUUAGCACUUUGAGAGGCCCAGGGGGUCGGAUCACCUUAGGUCAGGAGUUCAAGACCAGCCUAGCCAACAUGGUGAAAUCUCAUUUCUACUAAAAAAAAAAAAAAAAAUUAGCAGAGUGUGGUGGUGGACGUCUGUAAUUACAGCUAUCCAGGAGGCUGAGGCAGGAGAAUCUCUGGAACCCAGAAGGCGGAGGUUGCAUUGAGCUGAGAUCGUGCCACUGCACAGAGAGAGACUCCAUCUCAAAAAAAAAGGGGGGGUGCAUCAUAAGCAUAAAAGCCUUCUCAACUGCUUACAAGGGGAAUGAUCCUGCUGUAUCUAGAACAACGCAAAGAAAAAUGCACUGAACAGCCACCUACUUACUAUCCACGUUUAAUAAAUAUCUACCAGAAUAUCUUUGUCAAAUCUUCACCAUGA